AUUGAACGCUGGCGGCAUGCCUUACACAUGCAAGUCGAACGGCAGCACGGGAGCAAUCCUGGUGGCGAGUGGCGAACGGGUGAGUAAUAUAUCGGAACGUGCCCAGUCGUGGGGGAUAACGUAGCGAAAGCUACGCUAAUACCGCAUACGAUCUACGGAUGAAAGCGGGGGAUCGCAAGACCUCGCGCGAAUGGAGCGGCCGAUGUCAGAUUAGGUAGUUGGUGGGGUAAAGGCUCACCAAGCCAACGAUCUGUAGCUGGUCUGAGAGGACGACCAGCCACACUGGAACUGAGACACGGUCCAGACUCCUACGGGAGGCAGCAGUGGGGAAUUUUGGACAAUGGGCGCAAGCCUGAUCCAGCCAUUCCGCGUGCAGGAUGAAGGCCUUCGGGUUGUAACUGCUUUGUACGGUAACGAAACGGACGAGCUCUAAUACAGUUUGUCUAAUGACGGUACCGUAAGAAUAAGCACCGGCUAACUAACGUGCC
rnacentral:rRNA from 1 species